UCCAGGGUAGCCUAGUGGACAUGGCAUCUGCCCGGUAAGCGUAACACUGUGGGUUCGAUUCCCAUCCCUGGAC